rnacentral:rRNA from 1 species
UACGGAGGGGGCGAGCGUUAUUCGGAAUUAUUGGGCGUAAAGGGCGCGUAGGCGGCUUGGCAAGUCAAAGGUGAAAUCCCUCGGCUCAACUGAGGAACUGCCUUUGAAACUGCCUGCUUGAGGCCGGGAGGGGGUAGCGGAAUUCCCAGUGUAGCGGUGAAAUGCGUAGAUAUUGGGAGGAACACCGGUGGCGAAGGCGGGUCUCUGGAACGGUACUGACGCUGAGACGCGAAAGCGUGGGGAGCGAACAGG